rnacentral:piRNA from 1 species
UAUUGAGGUAGUACUUGAAGCCCACAGCC